CGAAGAUUCAUCCGCGACGACUGACAACAAACAAACUUGAGCGCACAUGUCGCUCUCAUCAUCUCGGCUCUUAAUAAAGCUGCUUUCUAAAGACGUAUGGAGGACGAGAGGUGAGAUAUGAGGUAUGCUGUCUCGGUGGACAACAUCUGGGAAGAAGAGUAACGUUAUACAGACCAACUGAGAGAACAUCUUCUCUGUGCUGAAGCUCUGAGAAUAAAGAAACGAGGCGUUGGGGGAUGAGCAGCAGACUGGAUGGAGACGAGGACGUCAAGGUGAUGAGAGAAAACGCUGGAGGAGCUGCUGGAGAACCACAGAUAGGCUCAUCAGAAGCUGCUCAGCCGCCUUCGAGACAAGGUGGAAGACAAGCAGAGGAUGCUGGAUGAACUCACAGAACUACUGAAAAAGGAGCAAAGACGCAUGGAAUGCCGGGAGGAGACGAGAACUGGAGCGCAUGGAUGAAACAUUUGAUGAGUGCAGUCUUCUGACCACGACUGAGGAUGACGGACUUUCUUCGCUGACUUCAUCCACGUCUUCUUCUGCUGAAUGCAGACGGUGUACCCAGAAGGGUCGGAGGGGGUCAUGCAGGAGAAAUUCAGGGGUUUUUCACUAAAUAAACACACACACCCCCCAAAAAAAAAAAAAAACAAA